rnacentral:lncRNA from 1 species
GACUCUGUCUCAAAAAAAAAAAAAAAAAAAAAAAAAAAAAGUCCUCUCAGGGGCACCCCAUUGAAUCCAGGCUGUUAUUCCGUUAUUCCGACUCUCACUGUCCUACUAAACCUUAAGCCAGCUGGCCCCUUUGUGUAUCUCCUGUCUCAUUUCAGCUAACUGUCCCUCACUAACCCUUUCUCCGCUCCCACACCCACUUGCUCCCAGCUUGCUUUCACCUUCAGGGGCUUUGUGCUAGCUGAUCCACUUGCCAGGUACUCUUUCCCCAAAGUUAUCUCCUAUUUGCAUUUACCUCAGUUUAAAUGUUACACUUCUAAAAUAUCUUUUCUGGCCGGGAACGGUGGCUCACACCUGUAAUCCCAGCACUUUAGGAGGCCGAGGUAGGUGGAUCUCAUUUGAGGUCAGGAGUUCGUGACCAGCCUGGCCAACAUGGUGAAACUCCAUCUUUACUAAAACAAAAAAUUAGCUGGGCAUGGUGGCACACACCUGUAAUCCCAGCUACUCAGGCGGCUGAGGCAGGAAAAUUGCUUCAAUCCAAGGGGCAGAGGUUGCAGUGCGCCGAGAUCGUGCCAUUGCACUCAGCCUGAGCGACAGAGCAAGACUUCAUUCAUCU